rnacentral:lncRNA from 1 species
GGGAAGGACGAACAAGGGCAAAUAGGUAAUUCUAAUAUUAACUUUGGGAUAAUUCCUAAUGUAAAUAGUACAUUAUAAUGGGCCCAUCUGUCAUAGAUAUAUGACCUACUCUAUUAACACGUGUAUUGCUCUUUAUUUCUCAAGAAACACGUGUGCUACUAAUUGUGUUGUCUUUUUCAUUGGAACAUUUAACAAAAAACUUGUGUAAAGUGAGCUUAUUGUUCUUCUUCUGGGAAUGAUUUCUACCGUCCCUUCAGUUUUAAAUCCCUUUCCCACUGGUAUUAUACCUUUUCCUGCCAGUGUAGAACCUAGCAGAUAUCGAUUAAUCUAAUUUUAUGUUAUUUUUAUUUUGCCUUUAGGUCAAUUUUUCAUUGGAUUGGUUUGAAUUUUCUUUCAAUUUUGUUGAUUUCUUGGGUAUUUAGGGUUGUUAUACCGUUCCAUGCACUACAUUUUAGAGUUCAUUGUAAUUUGUAGCACUGGCCGUUUUUCUCCUUCUCCUCUCCGACUUGCCUAUUUACAAAUUUGUAUUUAAUAUAAUAAUUUCUCCUAUUCAGGUCUAUUACUUCAAGGAGAUAGGGGAGAAUUGCAAGCAUGAGAUGCCGGAAUGGAGCAGAAGCUUGAAAUUCAAACAAUCUAUCAAAUUUUUAUAUCGUUAUACAUCAGGUAUACCGACCUCAAUUUUUCCAAAUCAAACCAAGAAAAUAUAGGUUCUCCCCUUUUUUAUUUACCGACUAUGAAUUUCUGAUUUGAGUAGAGAUUGCAACACUAAAUUCCUUAUAGGGUGAGUUCACAAUUUUGCGGUCUACAUGAGUUACAUUCUGCUACCACAACAAUUAGUCUUCUAAUUUUUCUUCAACACCCAUACUUUUAUCUAACUCUGUUGGAGGCUAAUGGAGAUUAAACAAACAACAAACUACCUUAAGUUGAUGACAUGAUGGUUAACCUUAAAAUACACAUAUCUCUUUUUCUGAAAAUUGGCACGGACUAGCACGAAUCAACAGGCAAGUUGGUAAAUUAUUUUUUGUCAUUGAUGUUAUGAUAAACAAAGUCGUGCUAUCAUAUGAAUGGAUUGUUGGUGUUCUGUGGUAAUAGGAAGUUCUACUUUAAAGUUUACAGGCUAGCUUCCUGGUACGUAUGAAUGACAAGACUCAAAUUGGACAUAGAAGACGGUUUCCAUGUUCUAAG